UGGGGAAUUUUGGACAAUGGGGCAACCCUGAUCCAGCCAUUCCGCGUGAGUGAAGAAGGCCUUCGGGUUGUAAAGCUCUUUCAGCUGGAACGAAACGGUACGCUCUAACAUAGCGUGCUAAUGACGGUACCAGCAGAAGAAGCACCGGCUAACUACGUGCCAGCAGCCGCGGUAAUACGUAGGGUGCGAGCGUUAAUCGGAAUUACUGGGCGUAAAGCGUGCGCAGGCGGAUUGUUAAGCAAGACGUGAAAUCCCCGGGCUUAACCUGGGAAUGGCGUUUUGAACUGGCAGUCUAGAGUGUGUCAGAGGGGGGUAGAAUUCCACGUGUAGCAGUGAAAUGCGUAGAGAUGUGGAGGAAUACCAAUGGCGAAGGCAGCCCCCUGGGAUAACACUGACGCUCAUGUACGAAAGCGUGGGUAGCAAACAGGAUUAGAUACCCUGGUAGUCCACGCCCUAAACGAUGUCAACUGGUUGUUGGGGGAGUGAAAUCCCUUAGUAACGAAGCUAACGCGUGAAGUGACCGCCUGGAGACGC
rnacentral:rRNA from 1 species